rnacentral:rRNA from 1 species
GUGGGGAAUAUUGCGCAAUGGGGGGAACCCUGACGCAGCAACGCCGCGUGAGCGAAGAAGGCCUUCGGGUCGUAAAGCUCUGUCAUAGGGGACGAGAAGGAGACGGUACCCUAUGAGGAAGCCCCGGCUAACUACGUGCCAGCAGCCGCGGUAAUACGUAGGGGGCGAGCGUUGUCCGGAAUUACUGGGCGUAAAGGGUGCGUAGGCGGCCUGAUAAGUCAGAUGUGAAAUACCAGGGCUCAACCCUGGGGGUGCAUUUGAAACUGUUGGGCUUGAGUGCAGGAGAGGAAAGCGGAAUUCCUAGUGUAGCGGUGAAAUGCGUAGAGAUUAGGAGGAACACCAGUGGCGAAGGCGGCUUUCUGGACUGUAACUGACGCUGAGGCACGAAAGCGUGGGGAGCAAACAGGAUUAGAAACCCUAGUAGUCC